AUCUUUAAUAGUUGGGAGAUUAACUGUGAUGGGUAAGAAAUUAGGGGGGUGUUAUUCGUUAAUGGAUUUUAAUAGAAUUGAAAUCCAAGCCGAAUCCACUGUUAUUCAACUAAUGAUUCUAUAUCCAACUUUAAAAUUUAGUGUUAUUGGAACUCAUCUUUGUAAAUCAUGUUUAAUAGAUUUUAAAGUUUGAUGUUAUUCAAUUAAGAUUUUAAAUAUUUCAUUAAAAUCCAGCGUUAUUAAAAACUAAAAGACUUGUAAAAUAUUUGUAUAUUAAUUCAUUUGAAAUGAAACCUCUUUAGAGUUUCAUGAGUAAAUCACUAGAAUCAAAAUCCAAGACAUAUUGCAGAGAUUUUGAAAUUCAUACAAACAUAUUCUUAAAAGCAAUAUCAGAAAACAAGUCUAAAGCUUAGGUGGUGUUAUUCAAUUAUUACUAGAACACGACAGAACUUUUUUUAAUUACUGUUAUAUUUUCGACUUUUUUUUAUUACCCAACGUGCCUCUACUAAACGUUACCGGAAAAAACGUAAUUACAGGUAAUGCCACUGCCACGUCAGAAUUUACUGACGUGGAUUAAAUGAACUCAGCCUUAACUCAAUAUAACGGCAGUUACGGUUGAGUUACGGUAUGUUGCGGCUGACUUACGACAAAAUAUAUGAUUCAUAACAAAACGGCGAAGUAUGAGUAUAACUCAGCCAGACGUUACGGCUGAGUUGUAAAAUGUUACCUGAGUUAUAGUAUAACUCAGGCAACGGUAUGGUUGAGUUAAGGAUGGUCGGCCGAGUUAUAAGAAGUUAUACGAUAACCCAGCCAACACUAUGGCUGAGUUAUGAGAAAAAGGCUGACUUAUUACCUCGACACGGCCGAGUUAUAGUUUUGAACGGCUUAGUUAUGGAACGAUGUGACGGCUGAUUUAUGGUCGAGUGUUAUAAAUCAGCCGCUAAUAGCUCGAUUACGAUAUAAC
rnacentral:sRNA from 1 species